rnacentral:lncRNA from 10 species
CUGAAGGGCAGAACUUUCCAGCUUUGUCACCAGUGCUCCCACCCUGGGCUGCCUUCUGGAAAAGUCAGAAACCUGGGAAAGCAAGAAGGGAAAGGAGGAGGACAGGGCCAAGGACAGAAGGAGAGGAGAAGCUACCGGGACCCCUUCCCUGUCUAAACCCCACCCCCAAGACUCAAGAUCAAGGCGAGGAAGAUGUGCCUCAAUUUAAAGUCAACACUGAAAUUUUGACUAUAGGACUUGCCUUUCAAUUGCAACACGGUCAUUGUUUCGUUAUUAGAGGUGAUUAUUUUCAUUUUUUAGAAAACCUAAAUGUGACCAAAAAGUCCUUAUUAGAGGGAAGAACUUAAAAGGACAAUGGGUGACAACAUUUUUAGAUAUUGAUGAGUGUUAUACAUAACAAUAAUAUAAGAUGGUGGGAAUUGUGGAGAGGGAGCGCUUUUCUUGGGUAGUGUGAUCAGAAAAGAUUAUCCGGAAAUGACAUUUGAGUGGAGGCCUGAAUGAGUGGACAGCAGACGCUGCUGAGAUGAGGGGGAGUGAGCUAUAGGAUCAGGAGUGAGAAUGGCCACUUUCUGCCCUUCUCAGAGGUAAAAUUACGAAUGUAAUUUCCUAAUUACCCGAUGAAACAUAUUUUGAACUAGAACACAGAUGUUUGGGAAAACCUCCAGCAAAUUGACUUAAUCUGAUUGAUUUUCUGAUUUAGUGUUUUUCUAAGCAAGAACUGCACCCGUUGUGACAGAAGAGGCGCUAAAGCUGCAAAUUCCUGGGCCUCGACCCACUAGUUCCUAAUCAGAAACUCCAGGGUGGAGACGCAGGAUCUGCAUCCCUGGGAUCACACUGCCUUUCGAGAACCAUCCACCUGCCAGCUCCAAGUAGGUCGAGGGAGCAGCGGCACCUGGGAUCCCACCGGACCGGGAAGAGUCAAAUCCAGGUUUCUCCCUGCUUCACCAAAAGGCCCCCUGCCUCCACCGCAACAGGAACAGUCUCUGUCUGGGAACUGCGGUUGCCUAAGGCUCGGUUUGCUCUUCAGCACUCCGGUCCCCCAACACCGCGUCAGGCGGCGCCCAGCCUCCCGGGGACUCGCAGACGCUCACUCCCCAGACCACAGCGACACCUGCCGAGGCCCCGCGGAACCGCGCUGCACAGCAACCCAGCGCGGCGGGGGGAGUGGCCUGGGGCCAUUCUCCGGCCCCCACCCCCCGCCCGUGACCACCGUGCGCUGCCAGAGGGGAGGCUGCGGGAAUGGCCAGCGAGGUCUCGCAGGGGGACUGGUUGUCUUUUAGGAAAUCAAGGGGCCAGCGCCCCCAGUGCCGGCUGGGAGAUGCCUUCAGAGUUCGAAGAGAAAAGAUGCGACCUUCAAUCCGCUCCAUUCUCCGUCAGACAGGCCCUGCGGACGGAGCUCCUGCCACCGCUGCAGCCCCAUGAUGUGUGCUCCUACGCCCCGCCCCGCUGCAGCCCAGCCCACCCCACCCCCAUACGGAAAUCCUGCAGGAGAAACUGAAACACUAGCGACAGUGGGACAUAUCCCCGGGAGCAGUUGCGGGAGGGAGAGAAGGAAGGAGCAAAGGGGAAGAGGAAGAGAGAGAGAGAGCUCAAGGGAGCCUUCUUGGAAAGGUUUAACCCGACAGCUUGAAGGCGGCGGGUAGUAAAGCAGCGAACUGGUGAACGGGCGUCCUGACCCGCCACACUUCCCUCACCGACACCCCUCAUCCGCGAUACCCCACAGGACAGGAUGUCCAGCUGCCCUCACUUAUCGUGCCCCUGGGCAUUUGAGGGGUUCAGAGAGAGAAACGCAGUAACUUAUUACCCUCACAUGAUAUAUUUUCACUUUCUUCUCCUGAUUGUCAGCUCAAUUAGAUAAGGGACCUUGUGUUUUAUUCCGUUGUACCCCGUGCCUGACACAUGGUAGCUGCUGGAUAGAGAUUUCUUCGAUGAUUGAUUAUAAAACACACUAAUUUAGAGCUUACUAUGUUAUAAGAUCUCCAUCUUCAGUGACUCACUUAUUCCUCACAAGAAGCCUAGGAGGUAAGGUUUUCCAAUAAGGAGAGCCAGGCACCCCAUAAUGAACGUGCACGGUGUCACAUUCCCAGCAAGUGCCGAAGCUGGGGUCAGAUUCAGGCAACCUGGCCCAGUGCCCUCACAGUUCAUCCGGCCUCCACAUGGCCAUUUUGUCCAUGAAUAAAUGAAUAAGUG